ensembl:snoRNA U3 Small nucleolar RNA U3
AAAACUAUGCUUUCAGGGAUUGUUUCUCUAGUUGGUGACUGGAGAAGGGUGGCUAUGAAUAGCUAAUCUUGCUAACCACGGUGAGGAGUUGUAGUGUUUCCUUCUGAACAUGAAAAUGGUAGAAAGCACUGUUCUAUGACAGCUGCUUUCUGCUGUAGAAGAGUGUCUUGUUCUUUCUAAGAAAAACAGGGGAAAGGUCCACAGUCUGAGUGGU